GGUUCCGUGGUGUAGCGGUUAUCACGUCUGCUUUACACGCAGAAGGUCGCCAGUUCGAUCCUGGCCGGAAUCA
rfam:Asian citrus Psyllid, Diaphorina citri - Florida Strain, whole genome shotgun sequence.